AAUGAACGUUGGCGGCGUGGAUUAGGCAUGCAAGUCGAGCGUACCCAGCAAUGGGGAAGCGGCAAACGGGGUAGUAAGGCAUCGGAACGUACCCUCUUGUUGGGAAUAGCCGCGGGAAACUGCGAGUAAUGCCCAAUAAUCCCUACGGGGCAAAGGUCCGCCGCAGGAGGAGCGGCCGAUGUGAUACCAGCUAGUUGGUGAGGUAAUGGCUCACCAAGGCUUAGACGUCUAGGGGGGUGUGAGAGCAUGGCCCCCACCACUGGGACUGAGAUACUGCCCAGACACCUACGGGUGGCUGCAGUCGAGAAUCUUCGGCAAUGGGCGCAAGCCUGACCGAGCAACGCCGCGUGCGGGAUGAAGGCCCUUGGGUUGUAAACCGCUGUCAGGGGGGAUGAAAGCGCAAGCUUGACAGAGCCCCAGAGGAAGCACGGGCUAAGUUCGUGCCAGCAGCCGCGGUAAAGUAGACGU
rnacentral:rRNA from 1 species